UUUCCGAAACGUAUAGUUUACGUCAGUGCAUGGUGCAGCCAAUCGCGGGCGUGGGCGAGCUACUUGGUUUUCAGGCUGCGAGUUUAAAGCAUGCGGCAAGCAAACCAUUUACAAUGGCUUGCUACUACAGAGGGAGUUUAAUGUUACUUUUUUUUAGUUAAAGCACAUUGGUCUCUUGUUCGCUUCUCGGGUUUUAGGGAGGAAUCACAUUAAUUCCUCCCUUGGUAGGGAAGUUGCGACGUCAGAAAAAGGUAGGGAAUUUGCGACAUAAGAAAAAGCAAUUGCUAAAACCAGAUGGCCGCAGCAAGGAAACUACUAGCGUAUCUCAUCAUUUUUGCAAUGUGUGCAAUGAGUUCAACCCGAUGUGCUACCUAUUCGACCGCCGACUACCCGUGAACCACGUAUGCGGAAAAAACGGUUAGUGGUAGUGGUAUAAACAGAUCCACAGUAAGCCCACAACACCUGCGUAACCUACCCAAAGAAUGGCAAUCGCAUUAGGACUGCAUUUUAAUGUAAUUAGCAUUUUUAGGGUAAUUCACGCACAUUUAGGGGACUAUCGGGCGGUCGGGAUCUGCCACAAGCCAUUUUCUCACAAACGUGGAUUGAUACAUAUUAUAUAUUCCAUGAUCAACUAGGUAGAGCAUUGACCUGCUGUGCUGGAUGUGUCGAGGGAGGCCGGUUUUUGUGGCCAACUUUGAUGACCAAAUUUGGUGACGGGGUAUGUGCUACUUGAUAGGUACCGUUUUCAAUGAACCUCGUAGACCGGCAACUUGUGUUGCUGGGUAUGUUUACAGAGUAUAUGUCGCUCUUUAAGGAACUAAUGAGACACCACCUUAGGCCGCUUGGCGCUCCAAAACAAGCAAGACAUAUAUUCAGAUAAUAACUUCCGAAUAUAUAUUACACACGCACCGUGAGCUGACUUCGUGGCGGUGCCGCUGCAUGGCUGAAUGUGACCACAGGAGAAUCACGAGAGAGGAUCCAGGCUGGACACACUCCUUAUAUAUGACGCCUUUCGGCGGUGGCAAUUGGCCUGUCGCUACAUUACUUCAGUGCUAAUUGAAUUAAUAUGAAUAGUGAGAUGCGCGCUUCGGUAUUUUUGAUAGCGUAAGCAUUUAUAGGGCCUUUCUCGAAUUUUCGGGGGCUAUGUGUGUAUAAAUGUUGUUAUCUGUUUUUCCACCUACCAGGGUCACAUGGUAGUCCAUGGCCGACUCGGGUAGGGCAUCGGGCUGCUGUGCUGAGUAAACACGCUUCGGAAGCAACCGGGUGGACCAAUUUGGGUUGUUGACUGUGUGGCAAUGUAUUCACAUGCGCCAAUCUUCAACGAACGUAUUUCACGCCGAUAUGAGUCACUGUAUAAGCGGGAGUGUGUAGGUGCCCCUGUUUGAAUAAACUAUAUGCUGACUCGGAGAAAAGGGUAUGUACCGCUAGCUCUGUGCAGGGUUAAAAUGAACCUAUCUUAUGCCAACUUUGGUCACUGCGUAUUUGAGAGUAUGUGUGAGCCGUUCUUCAUUAAACGUCUUUGAGGUCAACUUGCGUAACUAGGUGUGUGCCCCUGGGAAUGUGCCGCUCUAAAAUGAGAGAAAAUAUUCUUUAAAUAUUUCCAGUGGUGGGCAGAGUAAAGCCCACAUCACACGGGUUUCGGACAGCAGCCCGACGGUUUAGCAGACGGCGCCACAAAUGCUCUGGGUAUGGGCCGCUCUUCAAUGAAUCUCCCCUCAACUUAGGUCACUGAGUAUGUGCAGCAGGUUAAGGCA